rnacentral:misc_RNA from 1 species
UACGAGGGCCUCAAGCGUUAUCCGGAAUUAUUGGGCGUAAAGCGUCCGCAGGCUGUUUAGUAAGUUGUGGGUUAAAUUUCAGGGCUCAACUCUGAAACUGCUUGCAAAACUGCUCAACUAGAGGCAGGGAGAGGUGAGUAGAAUUACCGGUGUAGUAGUCAAAUGCGUUAAUAUCGGUAGGAAUACCAAAUGCGAAAGCAUCUCACUGGAACUGUCCUGACGCUCAGGGACGAAAGCGUGGGUAGCGAAUGGG